GACGAACGCUGGCGGCGUGCUUAACACAUGCAAGUCGAACGGAAAGGCCCUGCUUUUGUGGGGUGCUCGAGUGGCGAACGGGUGAGUAACACGUGAGUAACCUGCCCUUGACUUUGGGAUAACUUCAGGAAACUGGGGCUAAUACCGGAUAGGAGCUCCUGCUGCAUGGUGGGGGUUGGAAAGUUUCGGCGGUUGGGGAUGGACUCGCGGCUUAUCAGCUUGUUGGUGGGGUAGUGGCUUACCAAGGCUUUGACGGGUAGCCGGCCUGAGAGGGUGACCGGCCACAUGGGGACUGGGAUCCGGCCCGGACUCCUACGGGAGGCAGCGGUGGGGAAUAUUGCACAAUGGGCGGAGGCCUGAUGCAGCAACGCCGCGUGCGGGAUGACGGCCUUCGGGUUGUAAACCGCUUUCGCCUGUGACGAAGCGUGAGUGACGGUAAUGGGUAAAGAAGCACCGGCUAACUACGU
rnacentral:rRNA from 1 species